rnacentral:lncRNA from 1 species
CUGUUUUCUGUAUUACUGAAAUGCUUAACACAGAAGAAAUCAACAGGGGUCCCAAAAUGCAACUUUAAAAACAGCUUAAAAGGCUUCUUUAUAGUAACAAGUUAUCUUUUGGACUCCAGGGGAAAUUAAAACAAACAAACAAAAAACCCCACAAAACAGUGCUCCAGGACCUUAAUCAUCUUUCUGGCCCAGACUGGACUGUCCUAGUGUCACUGAGUGAAGCACUGAUAUUCUUUAUUUGAAUAUAAUCUUUUAUAAUCUUAGACACUGUUCAAUUGAGGGGAGAGUAAAGCAUGAGCAAUUGAAAAAAUAUAUGCCUGGACUUCAAAAUUAAAUCUGAAAACUGUAAUUCUUCAGAUGGGGAUCAUGUAACUAUCAAGUCUGCAUUUCUGCUCUGCUGAGAAGACCUUUGUACCUAUGAAGAGCCUGCAAAGCCUAAUGAGAAGAUAGAUCUAGGGAUGCAAGCUUGGGAACUGGAUAAAAACAGUUAUAGAGACGGUGAUGUUUCAGAGUCUAGCAUUUCUGUUACAAAGACUCACAUCUGGUCAUUUCGUACCACAGGGCCUUUCUACUUAUGCUUCUUUACUGUUGUGCUGGACAGCAACGAGGAGCAAAACAUCUUUUGAAAUUCUUCUUGGGAUUGGAUACCUCUAUGGAUAAAAGAGGAAGUCUUUUUGUGUUACUUCUUAUUCAGUGCCAGUGCAGUACUGGAGAAGUAGAAAAGAUCAAGCAGAUUGAAAGCAUUGCUUUAAAUGUUAAUGCAAAUGAGAGAAAUGGUGAUAUACCCUGCAACCACAGAACCAUGAAUUUAGAUGAGUCGUUAUUGGAAAUAAUUCAUGCUAAGUCAGUGAACUAUGGGCAGGAAGAUUGAAAUAUCCAGGAACCAACUGGUAAAGUUGAUAAAUAACAGUAAAUAAUAAGAAGAAUUUCAAAAUCAUCAUGACACAAGUGCCAUCCAGAGAACUGGAAAUGGAGAGGAAGAUCCACAGCAGAUCCUUCCUCAACUUCAAUCAAGAAUACAGGUUAGGAGAUGACCUGCUGGAAGGGAGUUGUGCAGAGAAGGACAUGCAUGUCCUGGUGGACAACUGGUUGGCCAUGAGCCAGCAGUUUGCCCUUGCGGCUGAAAAAGCCAAAGGUAUCCUGGGAAGCAUUAGAAAGAGCAUAGCCAGCAGGACAAGGAAGUUUUUAUAUCUAUUUGUUUGCUGUGGGGAAUUGAUUGAAAAGAUUGAGAGCUGAUUUUCUUGAUACAAAACAGGCAUUAAAUACUUCGAACUGCCCAAAGAAGUAUUCCAUAGCAGAUGACAUCAUGCUGAAAAAUAGAACUGGAGGAAGUUUACCAGAGGGGCUGCUGUUGCUCAAGGAC